rnacentral:lncRNA from 1 species
UGUGGAGCAGUGUGAGUCAGUGACAUAAAUACAGGGAAGGGUAGGAGAGACUACAUGACAUCACAAUACCACCUUUACAUACUUCUGCGGCCUUGCUUCACGCUUCUUCAGGAGGAAUUGUCCAUGUAGUUGGGAAGUAACUUCAGAAAGAGAAAAUACAGGAGCUGAGCAGUGAAGGACCCAGGAGUUCCAUGAGAUGACGUUGUUGAUGAUGAUGAUGAUGAUGAUGAUGAUGAUGAUGAUGAUGGCUGACACCGACUGAGCAGGUUGCUUAUUAUGUCCCAGUUCCGUCAGGGUCACAAGAUGGCUGCCAUGGUCAGAUGUCACAAACCCAUAUGGCAGUGUUCUCAGCAGGAAGGACGGGGGGAAGGCUCCUUUUUAUCAGGCAUGUAGCUGGACUCUUGAUAUUUUCCUGCUUCAGGGAUUUUCACAGGAAAGAAAGCAGAAACAAUUUGAAGACAAUUGUAUCUCCUGUCUUUUGUAAAAGCCUAAACAAAAUGAUCUUCAGCUGAGGAGUGUAUUUGACGGUAUUUAGAAAGAAGAGGGAGAGACUUCACCUAGAAUAAAAAGGUCAGAGAAGAAAGGAACAAUCUAGAGCAGGUGGGCUCUGGACACAGAUCUCUGAGCCCCAACAAAUAGUCAUAUGUCCUAAUUGGACCAGAAAAGACCAUGUUCCUGGGAUAAUGGGUAUCUUAAAGAUAGUCUGGGUGGACAGAUAAGUGAUGGCUAGGGUUUUCUCCCUAAUGUUAUGCGGCUGGGUAAGACCCUUGCAGAACCCUGAGGGGAGUCUUGGUAACUUACAUCUCCUGCCAGGAUAAAGAGAUGGGUGUUCAGAUUUAGAUUUAAUUUGAUUGCAGAGAACAAGAGAUUUUCUAUACUCUUGAAUUUGUCAACUAAAAGUCCAAACUGCCUCAAACACAUGGUUCUAUUUACAAAAUAACCAUUUACAAAGUUGGUUUUACAACCAUAUAACUGUUUGUAAUACUCUGUAUAACAUGUUAUCACCUGCAUCAUAUGAUCAUUUGAUGUCAUCUUUAGCAAAAGGACAGAGGGGCCACUUUUAUUAGUUCCUCAAGAAUAGAGCCUUAGAAAUGAUAAAUUCUUAUGAACUAUUGUUCAAAAAUAACCCCUAGUUAUCUUUAGCCUGCUCCAAAUGCCCUUCCCCCGGCUACCCCCUG